rnacentral:rRNA from 1 species
UGGUAGGUUAACAUCAAUUCAGACGUCAUAAAAUGACGGGAGGAAUGUAGCUUUGGUCUCGUACUGAAGUGUUAUAACUCUGGUAGAUGUGACGUCUGGGAUUGAGGAUUGCAACGGAUACCUUUCGGGGCUAUCGCCUGGCCUCUGAUGGUCGCUUUGGUGCUGAAAGCUUGCUUAUGGUUAUCGAAGUUGGUGUCAAAAGGUUAGAGCGGGUUAAAUUCGUUAAGGAUGUUGGCGUAAUGGCUUUAAACGA